rnacentral:RNase_P_RNA from 1 species
GGAGUCGGCCAGACAGUCGCGUCACCCGCAAGGGUGCCGAGGAAAGUCCGGGCUCCAUAGGGCACGGUGCCAGGUAAUGCCUGGGCGGCGAGAGCCGACGGAAAGUGCAACAGAGAGCAGACCGCCGAUGGCCCUGCCGUCGCCGAAAGGCGGAGGCGGGCACAGGCAAGGGUGAAACGGUGCGGUAAGAGCGCACCGCGAGUCCGGCAACGGACCGGCACGGCAAACCCCACCGGGAGCAAGACCAAAUAGGGAGGCAAUGCCGCGGCCCGCGGUGUCUCCGGGUAGGUUGCUUGAGCGCAGCGGCGACGUUGCGCCUAGAGGAAUGACUGUCCACGACAGAACCCGGCUUAUCGGCCGGCUCCGCCC